UACGUAGGGUGCGAGCGUUGUCCGGAAUUACUGGGCGUAAAGAGCUCGUAGGUGGUUUGUCGCGUUGUCCGUGAAAACUCACAGCUUAACUGUGGGCGUGCGGGCGAUACGGGCAGACUGGAGUACUGCAGGGGAGACUGGAAUUCCUGGUGUAGCAGUGGAAUGCGCAGAUAUCAGGAGGAACACCGGUGGCGAAGGCGGGUCUCUGGGCAGUAACUGACGCUGAGGAGCGAAAGCGUGGGGAGCGAACAGG
rnacentral:rRNA from 1 species